rnacentral:tRNA from 1 species
ACCACUAAACUAUACCCGCUACA